GCCAGCAGCCAUAUCACCCUGCAACUCACAACUGGUAGCCCACUGAAGCCCACUGAAACUAAGCAGGUGUGAGCCUGGUCAGUACCUGGAUGGGAGACCUCCUGGGAAAAACUAAGGUUGCUGCUGGAA
rnacentral:rRNA from 1 species